rnacentral:misc_RNA from 1 species
AAGUCGUAACAAGGUUUCCGUAGGUGAACCUGCGGAAGGAUCAUUAGUAAUUUUCCUUUUUCGGGCAGCGUCUCCCCCCCCCCUUCUUUAGCGGGAGGGAGGGAGGCGUGCUUGAUUCUUGUGAACUGGGAUUUUUUUCCAUUUUGCCAUUUUUUGUUUACAUUGUAAAUGUAGUAAAAGUUAUCAAAAGACAACUUUCAGCAAUGGAUCUCUUGGCUCUU